rnacentral:rRNA from 1 species
CGGAUGCGAUCAUACCAGCACUAAAGCACCGGAUCCCAUCAGAACUCCGCAGUUAAGCGUGCUUGGGCGAGAGUAGUACUAGGAUGGGUGACCUCCUGGGAAGUCCUCGUGUUGCAUUCCU